GCAUAUCAAUAAGCGGAGGAAAAGAAACUAACAAGGAUUCCCCUAGUAACUGCGAGUGAAGCGGGAAAAGCUCAAAUUUAAAAUCUGGUAGUUUUUGACUGCCCGAGUUGUAAUCUAGAGAAGUGCUAUCCGCGCUGGACCAUGUAUAAGUCUCCUGGAAUGGAGCAUCAUAGAGGGUGAGAAUCCCGUCUUUGACAUGGACUACCAGGGCUUUGUGAUGUGCUCUCAAAGAGUCGAGUUGUUUGGGAAUGCAGCUCUAAAUGGGUGGUAAAUUCCAUCUAAAGCUAAAUAUUGGCGAGAGACCGAUAGCGAACAAGUACCGUGAGGGAAAGAUGAAAAGAACUUUGGAAAGAGAGUUAAAUAGUACGUGAAAUUGUUGAAAGGGAAACGCUUGAAGUCAGUCGCAUUGACUAGGGAUCAACCUUGCUUUUGCUUGGUGUAUUUUCUGGUUGAUGGGUCAGCAUCAAUUUUGACCAGUAGAAAAAGGCUGAGAGAAUGUGACAUUUUCGGAUGUGUUAUAGCUUUCAGUCAUAUAUAUUGGUUGGGAUUGAGGAACUCAGCAUGCCGCAAAGGCCGGAUAUUAAAAUCACGUUCAUGCUUAGGAUGCUGGCAUAAUGGCUUUAAUCGACCCGUCUUGAAACACGGACCAAGGAGUCUAACAUGCCUGCAAGUGUUUGAGUAGAAAACUCAAGCGCAUAAUGAAAGUGAAAGUUGGGAUCUCUGUCAUGGAGAGCACUGAUGCCUGGACCAGACCUAUUGUGACGGAUCCACGGUAGAGCAUGUAUGUUGGGACCCGAAAGAUG
rnacentral:rRNA from 1 species